rnacentral:rRNA from 1 species
UACGAAGGUCCCAAGCGUUGUUCGGAAUCACUGGGCGUAAAGGGAGCGUAGGCGGCGUGGUAAGUCAGAUGUGAAAUCCCGGGGCUCAACCCCCGGAACUGCAUCCGAUACUGCCGUGCUUGAGGGUUGGAGAGGUAGCUGGAAUUCUCGGUGUAGCAGUGAAAUGCGUGGAUAUCGAGAGGAACACUCGUGGCGAAGGCGAGCUACUGGACAACAUCUGACGCUGAGGCUCGAAGGCUAGGGGAGCAAAAGGG